rnacentral:rRNA from 1 species
UUAUGGCUCAGAACGAACGCUGGCGGCGUGCUUAACACAUGCAAGUCGAACGCGAAAGGGGACUUCGGUCCUGAGUAAAGUGGCGCACGGGUGAGUAACGCGUAGAUAACCUGUCUUCAUGUCUGGAAUAAUACGCCAAAGGGGUACUAAUACCGGAUAUUCUUGCUUUUCAUAAGUUAUGCAAGCAAAGGUGGCCUCUGCAUAUGCUACUGCAUGAAGAGGGGUCUGCGUACCAUUAGCUAGUAGGUGGGGUAAUGGCCUACCUAGGCGACGAUGGUUAGCGGGUCUGAGAGGAUGAUCCGCCACACUGGCACUGGAACACGGGCCAGACUCCUACGGGAGGCAGCAGUGAGGAAUAUUGCGCAAUGGGGGAAACCCUGACGCAGCGACGCCGCGUGAAGUGAGGAAGGCCUUCGGGUCGUAAAGCUCUGUCAAGAGGAAAGAAGUGUACAAUGGCUAAUACCUGUUGUAUUUGACGGUACCUCUAAAGGAAGCACCGGCUAACUCCGUGCCAGCAGCGGC